GUAGGGAAUAUUGGACAAUGGGGGCAACCCUGAUCCAGCGACGCCGCGUGAGUGAUGAAGGCCUUCGGGUCGUAAAGCUCUGUUGCAGGGGAAGAACACAAUGACGGUACCCUGCUAGAAAGGAUCGGCUAACUUCGUGCCAGCAGCCGCGGUAAGACGAGGGAUCCUAGCGUUGUUCGGAAUUAUUGGGCGUAAAGCGGGUGCAGGUGGCUUGGUAAGUCAGAUGUGAAAGCCUGGGGCUUAACCCCAGAAGUGCAUUUGAUACUGCUGAGCUUGAGUGCUGGAGAGGCUAUUAGAAUUCCUGGUGUAGUGGUGAAAUACGUAGAUAUCAGGAGGAAUACCGGAGGCGAAGGCGGAUAGCUGGCCAGACACUGACACUCAGACCCGAAAGCGUGGGGAUCAAACAGGAUUAGAUACCCUUGUAGUCC
rnacentral:rRNA from 1 species